rnacentral:lncRNA from 1 species
GGUGCAAAAUCGUGAAUGUUUCAUGAGCAGAACUGUGGCUGCGGUUUACCAAACUGACGCAGAAAUAAUCAUUUAAAUUAGCCGGCUUCAUCAGGGAAAGAGCCACUCAUUGAUUAAGUGGCUGGAAAUGACUGAUUAUAGAUGUCAUUGGAGCGGGCAUUCUCCACUUGCUGUCCUUGAUUGAAGAGGCCGUUGAAGGUGGUGUCUGAAGAGGGCUUUUCAGGUUCUGGAAUGGGCACCCAUUUGAUUUUUUUUUUUAAACUAUAAUGCUGCACGCUCUCCGUACUGGAGUUUCUGCAGUGAAUUUCAACAGGUAGACAAAAGACCUUUUAAGGUAAGGUCCCAGUAAAUUAUAUUUCUCGGUUUGUUUUUAACGGGAACAUUUACUGGUACAGUGUAGUCCAGUGUCUGCAAAUACAUGCAUUGGGACCUUGAAAAGAAUUCACUUUUUAGUGUUUUUACUGCAGUUUUUUUUUGGUGGAGCUGGGUGCUAUUUUGCAGUCAGAACCAAAACUUUCUUG